UGGGGGAUAUUGCACAAUGGAGGAAACUCUGAUGCAGCAACGCCGCGUGAGGGAAGACGGUCUUCGGAUUGUAAACCUAAGUUAUCAGGGACGAAAGAAAUGACGGUACCUGAAGAGAAAGCUCCGGCUAACUACGUGCCAGCAGCCGCGGUAAUACGUAGGGAGCGAGCGUUGUCCGGAUUUACUGGGUGUAAAGGGUGCGUAGGCGGGUUUGCAAGUCAGGCGUGAAAUCCCGGGGCUUAACUCCGGGGCUGCGCUUGAAACUGUAGAUCUUGAGUGAAGUAGAGGCAAGCGGAAUUCCUAGUGUAGCGGUGAAAUGCGUAGAUAUUAGGAGGAACACCAGUGGCGAAGGCGGCUUGCUGGGCUUUAACUGACGCUGAGGCACGAAAGCAU
rnacentral:rRNA from 1 species